AUGCGACGGAAGGUGCGACUCGCAGACACGACAUGCGACGCCACAGUCCCGUCGCAAGUUGUGACAGAGAGAUUUUGUCCAGACUUUUCUGGACUACUUUAAAUAAGACCCAACUCGUCCAAAAUCAUAUUUUCAUCAUUCUUGGUCAAGAAAACCUCUAGAAUACUCUCUAACCUUCAUCCACACGAAAAUUCAAGGGAAAUCCAUAAUCAAUAACACCAAAUCCAUGAACCCAAGUGUAUGAAACCUAGCCAAAGUUCAUCUAAUUCAAGAAAACCCAAGGGAAGUGAAGUAGGGUUUUGGUGCUAGAGGAGUAACUCCACUCAAGACUUGUUCAACCACUACCUAAGAUCAAAGUUGAAGGGAUUGAAGGACAUUGUGAUACGCCCAAAAGCAGGAAGUUAAGGUACUGAUAUACAGGACGACACAUCUACUCAGUAAGACAGCAUUCGUAUCAGCUUAUUGGUGAGCCCCAUCUCAUUCGGGGUUUAGUCAAUUUUUAUUUUAUGAUUAAUUAUGCAUCUAAAGGUAUCUUUGGGGGCCUUGUCCAAACAAGUAUGUUUUCCGGUCGGACUCAUGAUAGAGGUUUCAUAGACUAGACAAGUCGGUUAUGUUAUGUCAGACAUUCAGAGUCGUAUAGCCAUUUUCGGCUCAUUCAUGUUAUUUCCACACUCAUGUUUAAACAAGUAUUUUUAUUAAGCAUUAUGACUUACUACGUUUUAUAAAGGCUCAUCAUGCAUUCACGUUAUAUUUCCGCUCAUGUAUGCCUCAUGAUAGUUCAGCAAGCCAUGUGGUUCGCUCGGUCA